GAUUUACUAAUGGACUCUAAUGUAGCCUACUGUUUCUCGAGGUUUGGUUUCUUUUCGUACUCUUAUCAGCUAUUUGUUAAUUCUUGAAUCUGACUAUCUUUAUUGAGCAUAAUUGUAUCUGUUUUAAAAGGUCUUAAUCAACCUCUGACGUGAAGUAGAAACCGUGCCCAUCUACACAUUCUUCGUCAAGUUUUUUAAUUCACUAUUUUAAUUUUGUGCAUAUCAUGUAAUUCGGUUGGGUUUGGGAUAGAUCACUUCAGCAUUUAAGAAAAAAUAAAUGGAAUUUUCAAAUAUGUGUAGCUUAUAGUAAAUGACAAUUCUAUAACUGCUUUAUAGAUUUUUCUCCCUAAGUUGACUUUUUGCCUCUUUAGAGGAUAUCCCUUCUAUUAGCAAUUUCCAAACAAGUGUCACCAAGUUUGCUUAGUGUCAGUCAACCGAAAUUAUAUCAUAAUAGCAGAAAAGCAAAAUAAAAAAGAAAAUUAAGAAAAAAAAGUCAUUACAUUGUUUAAAAUGGGGCAUUCCGAGAAUUGAACUCGGGACCUCUCGCUCCCGAAGCGAGAAUCAUACCACUAGACCAAAUGCCCUUUUGUAUUAGUUUCUUGAUCUCUCUUCUUUAAGCUGAUAGUUGACUUAAAUUCAAAAUUCAUUUGUUGAUUUUAGACAAUCUUUAUUGACUACAUGGCUAGUUAAGGUGGGACUAGGUUGACUUUUGUUGAUCAGAUUCUUGGCAAUGCCUUGAAAGCACUGCAAGCAAAUGACUAAUAGAUUUACCCUUAUGAUGUAAUGAAACUUUGGUAAAUUCUUAAACAUGGCGAUAUUCUUAAAGCUCUUAAUCAACAUCCGACAAAGAGUCAUCCGUGAAUUCUUCCUCGAGUUUCAUUAAUUUAUUCGUCUAAUGUUGUGCAUAUCAUGUUUUUUCUCGUUUUGGGUAAGUUCUCGAUAAUGCCUCAACAAUUUCAUUGUUGCUAUGCUCGGUUUUUCACUUUUGACUUAAUGGUUCUCAAAAGACCAUCAAAUGCUUAUGCAAAAUUUAUGGCUUAUUUUCACAUAUUCACUACCAUUAUAGUUAUCAUUUCUCCGAGCUUGAUUUUGUUAGUACUAUGUCAGCUAUUGGCUAGUUCUUAUUCAAAAUGGACUUUGUUUGCUGAGUGAAACUGUAUCGGUUUAGACUAGUAAACAUCUAGGAGUCUUUCGGGUUGGGUUUUUUACUAGAUCACUUCGACACCGAGAUAAUUAACAAUAACUUAUAAAAAUGAACCAUUUUAUAGCUGUUAUCCAAACUUUUUUCUACCCCUAAGUUGACUUUGCCAGCUUCUAUAAUUUGAUAGCCCUUUAAUUAACAUGUUAUUGAAAAUAUAAAAUGACACGAGAAAAUCCGAAAAAAGAUAAUAAAAAUUGCAUUGACUUGAUUGAAAAGGGGCAUUCCGAGAAUCGAACUCGGGACCUCUCGCACCCAAAGCGAGAAUCAUACCACUAGACCAAAUGCCCUUCUGUGUUAUUACUUAAUCUCUAUUCUUAUAGAUGUUGUAUAUUGCAUAAUAAUGCUUUGGGUUUAGACACUAUAUACAUCUCACUUAGAUAGGUAAAUCAUCUAUUGCUUUUAGACAACCUUUGAUGUCUAUAAUGUCAAGUUGAGGGGUAGCACUAGUCUCGACUUUUCGUUGAUUGGUUCAUUGGCAAUGCCAUGAAAUUCUCAGCAAACAACUUCUAGAUUUACUCUAAGUGAUGAAACCUUUGUGAAUUCUUAAACAUUCAGAUUUUCCUUAAAGCUCUUAGUCAACCUCUGAGAUCGACUCAUGUCAUCGUAAAUUCCUCCCUCAUGGAUAAUGUCUUAACAAUUUCAUUGUUGUUAAGGCCUGUUUUUCACUUUUGGCUUAACGGCUAUCAAAAGAUCAUCUAAUCCUUCCGUAAAAUUUCUUCGUAGUUUUACAGUUUUACUGAUGGACUCUUAUUUAGCUAAGUUUCUCUUAGCUUCGUUCCUUUCAUACUCUAUUAGCUAUUUGCUAAUUCUUAUUCAAAUUGGACUAUGUUUAUUCAGCAUAAACGUAUUUGUUUUAACUAAUAAACAUGUAGGAGUUUUUUGAGGUGGCUUUGGACUAGAUCACUUUGACAUGAAGAAGAAAUAAAAGGACUUCUAAAAUCUUUAUAGCUUAUAACACUUUAAUAAUUCUAUAUCUGCUAUCCGGACUUCUUUCCACCCUUGAAUCGACUCUUUCAGCAUUGUAAGCUGCUAUCCCUUUAAUUAAAUCCAAAAUAUAUUUGACAGGAGAAAACCCAAAAAAAGAAAAUUGCAUUAACUUGUUUGAAAAAGGGGCAUUCCGAGAAUCGAACUCGGGACCUCUCGCACCCAAAGCGAGAAUCAUACCACUAGACCAAAUGCCCUGUUGUUUAUAUACUUCUUCAUCUCUCUUGUUAGAUCUUAUAUUGUAUAGUGCAUAAUGCUUUGGAUAUAGGCUCUAGAUGUAGUUGACUUAGAUUCAAAAUUCAUUCUUGCUUUUAGACAACCUUUAUUGUCUAUAAUGUAUAGUUAAGGGGUAGCACUAGGUUCAUUUUAUUGAUUGGAUUAUUGAAAACCAUGCGAGUAUUAGAUUUACUCUUUUGAAAUAACUAAACCUUGGUGAAUUCUUAAACAAUCAGAUAUUUGCUCGUAAAUGUCUUAUUAAACCCUGUGUAGUGAUCCAUGCAAACUAUACAUUCUUCCCAAAGUUUUUUAAUUCACUAUUUUUGUAUUGUGCAUACCAUUUAGUUUUAGCUUCAUUGUUACAUGCCAGGAUUUUGGGUAAAUUACGAAACAUGGUCUAACAAUUCCUUGUCUUGUAAGACUGUAGUUUACGUUUUGUACUGUGUUUAUUCUACAUAUUAUGUGUAUUUUUUAGUUGGGUCGGGACUAGAUCACUUUGACUUUUAAGAAGAAAUAAUGGAAUUCUAAAAUCUAAAAUAAACUUGUUAUAAUUUUAAAUUCUAUAAUUGCUAUCGAGACUAUUUCUUGAUCUCUUCUUAGGUUGACUUUGCCUGCCUCUAUAAGCUGUUUGCCCUUUUAUUUACAAUAUCAAAAUUAAAAAAAUGUAAUAGGAGAAAAAGCCAAAAAAGAAAUUGCAUUAAAUUAUUUGAUGGGGCAUUCCGAGAAUCGAACUCGGGACCUCUCGCACCCAAAGCGAGAAUCAUACCACUAGACCAAAUGCCCUGUUGUAUUAGUUGCUAGAUGUGUCUUCUUUAGCUGAUGUUAUAGAAUGCAAUAAUGCAUUGGGUUUAGAGUCUAUAUAAAAUUAUAAAUUUCACUUCGAUAGGUUUUUAGACAAUCUUUAUGUUUAUAAGUCAAAUUAAAGGGGGAUUAGGUUUGACUUCUCUUGAUUUGAUUCUUAAAUGAUAAAACCUUGGCGAGUUCUUAAACAGACAGAUGUUCUUAAAGCUCUUAAUCAACCUCUGUCAUUGGAGUGAUCCAUUUCACGUAAUAAUUCUUCGUUGAGUUCGUUAAUUUACUUUUUAUAUGUUGUGCAUAUCAUGUUAUUUUAAGUUCAUUAUUAAGAUACCACGCUUUUGGUUACAUUCCGUAUUAUGGCUCAACAAUUUCAUUGCUGUUAAGACCUGUUUUCCAGUUCCGUAUGAUGGCAUAAUGGUUCGCAAAAAAUCAUCAAAUGCUUCUGAAAAAAAAUUCUUUCUUAUUUUCACAGAUUGACUAAUGGACUCUAAUGUGUAGCCUACAGUUUCUCGAGGUUUGGUUUCUUUUCAUACUCUUAUCAGCUAUUUGUUAGUUCUUAUUCAAAUUUGACUAUCUUUAUUCGGCAUAAUAGUAUAUGUUUUAAAAGGUCUUAAUCAACUUUUGACGUGGUGUGGAAACCACGCCCAUCUAUACGUUCUUGCUCGAGUUCUUAGUUCACUAUUUUAAUUUUGUGCAUAUCAUGUAACUCUUGUUGGGUUUGGGCUAGAUCACUUCAGUUCAGCAUUUGAGAAGAAAUAAAUAGAAUUUUGAAAUUGUGUAGCUUAUAGUAAAUGACAAUUCUAUAACUGCCUAAAAGAUUUCUCUCCUGAGUUGACUUUUUGCUUCGUAAGAGGGUGGCCCUUUUAUUAACAAUUUCCAAACAAGUGUCACCAAGUUUGCUUACUGUCAGGUCAACCUAAAUUAUAUCAUAGUAGAAAAGCAAAAUAGAAAAGAAAAUUAAUAAAAAAGUCAUUAAAAAAAAUGGGGCAUUCCGAGAAUUGAACUCGGGACCUCUCGCUCCCAAAGCGAGAAUCAUACCACUAGACCAAAUGCCCUUGUGAGUUAAUAACUUGAUCUGUCUUCUGUAAGCUGAUGUUGGAGUUAGGCUCUAGACGUAGUUGACUUAGAUUCAAAAGUCAUUUGUUGAUCUUAGACCAUUAUAACUUAUAGUUAUCAUUUCUCCGAGCUUGAUUACGUGUUCAUACUCUGUCAGCUAUUUGCUAAUUCUUAUUCAAUAUGGACUCUGUUUAUCGAGCGUAUUGUAUCGGUUUUAACUUAGUAAGCACCUAGGAGUUUUAUUUGGUCGGGUUUGGACUAGAUCACUUCGACAUUGUGAUCUGAACUAUUUACAACCUUUAAGUUGACUUUGCCAGCGUCUGUAUUUUGGUAGCCCUGUAAUUAACAAUUUAUUGAAUAUAAAAUCUUAGGAGAUAAAUCAAAAAGAAUAUAUUGCAUUAACUUGUUUGAAUGGGGGCAUUCCGAGAAUCGAACUCGGGACCUCUCGCACCCAAAGCGAGAAUCAUACCACUAGACCAAAUGCCCUUUUGCUAUUAUUGCUUGAUCUAUCUUCUUAAAGAUGAUAUUGUUUUUGUGCAUAAUGUUUUGGAUUUAGGAUCUAGAUGUAGGUUACUUAAUUUCAAGAGUCAUUUGUUACUUUUAGGCAACCUUUAUUAUCUAUAAUGGCUAGUUAUGGGGUGGCACUAAGGUUCGUUUUCUUGAUUGGAUUAUUGCCAAUUCCAUGAAAGUUCCAGAAACAACGAGUAUUGGAUUAUAACCGUUGAUCUGCACAUAAUCACCCACACACCCAUGUGUAUGUGUGUUUAGGUUGGUGCGUGUGCUUAGUGGGUGGUUAUUUGACUACAUCAAAAGUUAAUAAUCACCCGGGGUAGCAUCUCAAUAACCGAUUUUUCAAGUCUCCAUAAGCUGCUUGCCCUUUCAUUAAAAAUUUUUAAAAUAAAAAUAAUAUAAAAUGGUGGGAGAAAAGCCAAAAAAGAAUUGCAAUUAACUUGUUCAAAAAGGGGCAUUCCGAGAAUCGAACUCGGGACCUCUCGCACCCAAAGCGAGAAUCAUACCACUAGACCAAAUGCCCUCUUGUUUAUAUACUUCUUGAUCUCUCUUCUUAAGUGUGAUGUUGUAUAGUGUAUGUUUCUUGUGGACAACAUUUAAUUUCUAUAAUGCAAGUUGAGGGUGGGACUAGGUUUGGCUUUUCUCGAUGGGAAUCUUAAAUAAUGAAAACCGUGGUGAAUUCUUAAACAAGUAGAUAUUUGUUCUUAAAGCUCUUAAUCAACCUAUGUUAACUCCCGUUUUUGGCAUAAUAAUUCGCGAAAAAUCAUCAAAUGCUUCUGACUGAAAAAGUUCCGUUGUUUCUUAUCUUUGCAGAUUUAGUACUGCGACUCUAAUAUAUAGUCGCUAGUCGCUACUACUACCAUUUCUAAUGAAGUUGGUCUCUUUCGUACUCUUUGAGGUAUUUGCUAAUUCGUACUUGAGUUCGACUUGUGUUUAUUCAGCAUGAUGUAUUUUUUUUCUUUUUUGAGGGAUAUGAGAUUCAG
rnacentral:lncRNA from 1 species